CAACUCCACAGAUGGUCUCACCAUUCACUUCAUCUCCUGGAUUUCAGUUGCCCUCCAUGUAAUGCUGGGACCCAGGGUGGGUUGGGGGGUGAAUGUCAGUCCUGGGCAGUAGAGUGUCACCAUCUGCUGUGAUGAUGUCACUCUGAGCCAAGCAUGUCAGCUGAAGUCGCAGCACAUCAGUGUCUUUCCAUGCAGGCUGUGAGUGUUGGGAGCAGAGGGCUUCUGAAGCCUUUUGUGUCAGUAUCUCUGAGCACAGGAAACAGGUGGGAAGAUGUUAAAGGCUCUGAGAAGUCCUUCAGUGAAGAUUAAUUCAAAACUCUCCAAAAAUACCUGACCCUAACCAAGGACCGUCUCCUGGUAACCUGAUGAAGUUAGGUUUUGCAGACCAAGUCCUCAUUUGGGUAAGAAGAGAGCUGCCUCCUCAAGCAUCCUGGCUUUUGGAGCAUCCCUCCUCAUAGAGCAUCCUGGCCCCUGGAGCAUCCUUCCUCCUGGAGCAUCCCUCCUUCUGGAGCAUCCCUCCUUCUGGAGUACUCCUGGUCUCCUAGAGUAUCCUGGCCCCUGGAGCAUCCUUCCUCCUGUAGCAUCUCUUCUCCUGGAGCAUCCCUCCUUCUGGAGUACUCCUGGUCUCCUGGAGUAUCCUGGCCCCUGGAGCAUCCUUCCUCCUGGGAUAUCCUGGCACCUCUGCCCUUUAUUUCCCCAGCAACCAUUUCAUUUACUUCUUAAAUUUAUGUUUGUUUGUUUUAAUGUUAGAGAAGAAAGUGACAUGGCCUGUUCCCACCCUGACAUAGUCUCCACUGCUCCGAGAGAAUUGCCUAUUCACUGACUUCAAACAUGGCAAAUCUACCUCUGCCUUCUUCCUGUCCUACUGUCCUCUCAGAUCACUUACACAGAUCACUUUUUCACUCACCGUGGGUCUCAGAUACCAUCUUGGCAGUGGGCAAAGUGACCACUGAGUUCUGUCUUUUCUGACUUCUGAAUCUGAGCAGGCUCUUUGCCUUGGCCACUCCCCACAUCCAGCAGAGUGUGCCUCCCCAUGGGACUCAUCACCUUUUCCCUCGACAUACACCUUUUGUAUGUGCCUGAAUCCCUCUGCCACAUCCUUCCUAUAGACGAGUAUUUUUUUUUCUGUCUUGUUCCCGGUGGUACAGCAGUGCCUGGAACACAAUACAUGCUUAGUAAACAGUUGUCAGGUGAAUUAACAUGUGUACUCACAGAAGAAACAUACGUGCACUUUUUCUUUUCACUAGACUUUCUUUAGCGUUUAGCAAUAUUCCUAUAUUAGCCACCACAGAAACUUUUAUAAAAUCUUGCAUGUGUAUGUGGUACAUAUGUUUGGGGAUGCAUGUUGUGCUAUAUGUAUGGAAGUCAGAGGACAAUCCCAAGUGUUUCUAAUUUCUCUUCUUCUACCUUGUUUGAAACACUGUCUCUUAUUGACUGCUAUAAGUUUAGGGGGCUCUCAAGCCUCUAGAGAUCUCUUGGCCCCCACUUCCCAUCUUGCAGUAGGAUUGCUGGCAUUAUAGCCAGGCAUGCUACCACAUCCGGCUCUUGUGUGGGUUCUGGAAACACAAACUGGGGACUUCAUGCUUGCAUGGCUGUCUCUUGACUCACUCAGCCACCUCUGCAGCCUCACGCAGAGCCUUGUGAAAAUGCUGUAUCACGUUUCAGUUCAGGGAUGUCCUGAGUCAUAAAAAAGGAUUCCAUGUGGAUUUUUUCCCCCUCUUUGAACGGUGGUGAAUGGGAAAGAAUGUCAUAUUGUGUGUUAACAGUCCUGUGUGGUAAAUUCCCAGGCAUGGGCUUCCUGAGUGAGAGUGGUUUUCUCUAACCUUUAAUAGAUCUUACCAAGCUGUCUUCCGAUGAUCCUGCACAGAUUUCCCUUUCAUUGCAGAGCAGGACAGGGUCUGUUUUCUCACCUGCUUAUAGUACUGGACACCAAUGCCAUGUAUCUGUGCUGAUCAGAAAGGUGGGCAAUGACAGGCUCGUGAUUUGGGUUACAUUUUUUUUUAAUUGCAAAACGUUAAGAACUCUUACAAACUUCCACUGGCCAUCUCUGUUUAUUUUUCUUUCUCUCCUUUCUUUCUUUUUAAAAGCUUACUGUCUUCCAUCUGUCUUUUGCUGGAUUUUCUCCUCAAGGCAUAUUGUUUCCUGAUAAACAGGUUUGAAAGAAAUCUUUAAGACAAUGGUUAUCCCUGUUAUCAAGUUGUUCAGUCCGCUGUGUGUGUUUAUGACAUUUCAUUUUUCUUUUUUUAUAUUUGAGUUUCACAUAUUUUACUGUGAGAUGCUAUAUACUAUUUUAUAGUAACCCACAAUGUCGUAGGUCUCCUUGAGGCACUGUCAUACCUACCAUGUCUUGGUUGACACUCUACCCAACUGCUCUUCUUCCUCCUUUCCUGACUCUAAACCCUCCUACGUCCGGGAUUUCUCAGUUCACUCUCAUAUCAUAUGUGUGCUCUAACCUACACCCCUUCUCUUCCUUAAAGCCUCUGUUUCCCUCUCAUGGCCCCAUUCCAGGUUCCUGGUGUUCACCACCUUGGGGAGAAGCUCCAUAGGCACUGGGGACAGUGGGUGCGAUGCCGUUGGUAGAAUGUUCUAGACGGCUUCUGGAUCUAGUUCCCCUACUGGUCAUCUAUCUGAUUGCUGGUUGUUGAUUGAUUGAUUGUUCUACUAUGACGACAGAGGGAAGAUCCAUCAGUCUGUCCACUCUAUUCAGCCUCUGUCAGGAGCUGUGAUGUUUGGCACAUAUACAUGCAUGAUGGCUCUUCUGUCAUGAAGAGCUGAAUGGCACUAACCCCCGUAUACUGUUUGUGCUUUGUAAACUCACACAGCAAUUCUUUUGAUGAUUUCUGGGGAUAGUCUUAUUCAGAAAGGCUAUGUCUACUUGGCACUCUCUACAUUUAUAUUUGCUGUGUUUCCAUGUCUGCCUUGAAGGUUGACCCUUACCACCUGGGCCGACUGUGCCUCUUCUUGAGGUAUUCCCUUGCCAGCCUUCUUGUUUAGUUCUCUGAUCUUAUUCUGGCACGCCCAGUGUCUUCUCUGACUGUCUUGCUGCAAUGUGUCUCUAAAGACUCUGUUACGUGUCCCAGAUCUCCUCCAGAUGGCUCCUUCUGUGAUGGCUGCCUUUCAUGUCGGAUCCACUGGAAAUAGCUAAGGUGAGGUGAGAUACACAACAGUACAAACAGGCCAGCGAACCAGGAAAGCACCAAAGGUGAAGGAAGGGGUCAUGGACCCAGAUAAGAAAGAGGGAAGAGGGGGGCAGAGGGGCAGCUAGGUUAUCUGAGGAGUUAAUGAACACACCUGCCCCCCUUUUCUGGAGUUCCCAGCAGGAGAUCAAAGGGUCCCUGGGACAGGAGGAUGAACCCAGGAGGCAAAGGAGUGAGAAGAUCUUGGACUGUUUCCAGGAGCAAUUUUGGGAACUUUUUUUUUUUUUUAAUCAGCCAGAACUGAUGGAUGGAUGGGUUAGGGCUCAUUCAACCCCAGUCAAAGUGUGGGCAUGUGGCUGGGCUUAGAUUCCAGAGGUAUUGGUUAGGAGACAGGUAAGGCAAGUACAAGAGAAGCGGGUGCCCUGUGUGCUCCAGACCCUCUGCCCACAGAGACCAGGGAGCAGGAAGCCAGGGUCAGCUAGAUCUGGGAGGGUGCUGUAAGUUGGAGCAGGUCACUAGGUCAGCAUGUCCAGCACUCACCUGUAGGCCCACUAUGUGCUGAGAGCUCAGACGAAGGUUAUGUUCCUUCUCUGACUCUGUCACACCUGAAGCUGGGUGCCUUGGAGUCCCUCUUAUACAGAGUGUGCUGAACUAUGCGGGUGGCUGGUACCUACCCUCCUCCCCUGUAGGCUCAGGAGGAGGCUGGUGAAAGACAUACUAAUCAGGAUUCCCAAGGCCAGCAGAAGACACGUGGGUGGGAUGUGCAGAACCAACUGUCCCUUGUGCUAUAGCUCUGGGGAAUGACAGAUUGAGUGGGGAAAGGAGCAUCCAGUGCCUAUGUACCCAGGGGACUAUUGGUGGAGGAGAGCCUAAGGCAGCUUGUGAGCCUGGCCAUGUGCUGCUGUGGCCUGAGGCCUGGCUGUUCUCUGGGUUUGGUGCAGUAGAAGCAAUUAGAGGUUUUGGAAUCAGGGAAGGGCGAGAGUUCUGUGGCUACCUGAGUUCACCUCAAGGAACAGCUGAGACCGGGGCAAGAAAUUCACGAACAUCAGGGGCCCGUGACUGCGCCUGAGCCAUGGUGUCCUCAGAAAGAGCUCAGGGCCUACAGUCACUGCGUGUGCUUCCACUCCUGCCCUGGCAGGUCUCACACAAGGACCUGGCACAGGUGUCUGUAGUCUGUGUGUUUGGAAACAGAGAAGAGAUAACUCAAGUGUCUAAUGUUACAAAAGGGGUCCUUGGUGUGCCUGAGGAAAAGACUGGUGGUGUCCAUGCCAGGGAAGGGGACUUUUGCCUCGAGGGUGGAGAGAGUAAAGGCCAUUCAUUGUGCCAUAUCCAUCUGCACCAGGUAUCACACCCCCUGGACAGACGCAUGUUCUCUGACACAGAUAUACGUAUGCACAAAGACUGACAAUGACAGAAACACUUGCACAUGUGCAAGCAUGCGCGUGCGCGCGCGCACACACACACACACACACACACACACACACACACACACACACACACUAGCACAUACAGAUAUGCUAUAGAAACACAUGUGCACAUACACCCCAAUGUGGAGACCUCUCUCAUCGGAGGUCACACAAACACAACAGGGAACACACCGACUUUCUCCCCAGAGCCCUAGUUCUAGAACAGAAGGAAAAGCUGUUCAAAUAAUGCCGGCUGCCACCCAGUGACCUUGCUCUGUACUCCUGUCGGAUGUCGGAUGUUGAGGACAAUGAUUAAUUCCUGGCUCCCAGUGACAGCUGCGAGGAUCAGGGAAGCAUGGUGUCCUAAGAUCUUCAAGGCCAGAGUGCUCCAGGAUGAGACAUUUUGAAACAAUGCUCAGAAUGACAUAAAGUUUGAACAAGGGCCAAACUUUAGCCCACCAUAGAACCCUAACCACCAGCUUCUCCUUGUGUCCCGGUGAGCAGCCCCUUAACCACUGGCAAGUGACAGCUCAAUUUGGCUUGCUUGGCUUCGGUUUACUCACAAAGAGAAUGGUGCCUCCUUUCUCAUCAGAUCUGUGAAGUGCUACUAUGGACAGUCAGGGAAAGAAUGAUCUCCAGUACCUCUUUGUGUGUGUGUGUGUGAGUGUGUGUGUAUGUGUGUGUGUGUGUGUGUGUGUGUGUGUGUGUGUGUGUGUGUGUGUGUGUGAGUGUGUGUGUGAGUGUGUGUGUGACUCCCAGUGAAUAGUCUCAACAGAAGGACACCAUCCCUCACAAUGGCACAUGGGCUACUGAGAUGGAAAAAAAAACAUACCAAAUCAAAAUAGACUUUAUCAUCCCCAAGAAGAAUACAGAGGUCAUGAGUGUGAUGAUUUCACAGAAGUCACACAUCUGGUGUGUAUCAGUCUCAACUAGAACCCAGGUCCUGACACCCUUCAGUCCAGAGUCAGUGCAGCCGUUAGGAUGGUCUCAACUUUGGUGGAGCUGGGGAAGGUCGGAGCGACUAGGUCAUUGAUAUAAGGAGAAGUGUGGCUUUUAAAGAAAUACUUGGUGUGUGUUGAUUACUGAGUCCUUGGAAAUCACACAACUAUGACAUUCUUUUUUAUCUAAAAUGUAACAAUCUUAUGAUUCAAGUCAGUGCUUUCUGUCCACAUUUAUUCAGGGAGUUAGGGUUGGGGUGGGGUAUGAUCUGCAGAUGAAGCAGGCAGCACUCCCACAGUACACAAGUGUUCUGAGCAGUAGGUGCAUUUCCUGGGAAGGGGAUUCUGUCUGCUGCAGGCAGUUAGCAAGGCUGAGGGUGAAGAGAUGCAGGAAACCUGCCUCUGCACUCUCCCACCACUCCAAUCCCCUCCCCCUUCUCCCAGCAUAGAUGCCUCCAGCCUUUCAGAAAGGGCAAACAGAGAGGGCCCAGCCUGGCUCCACAAUAUUGCAAUUCCCCUUCUCCUGGUAGUUCUCUCUUCUCCCUAAUGACCCUUUCAACACUCCCCUCCCUCUCCCACCACCAGGGGAGCAGCAGAUGGUGGCUUUGGGUACAGACAAAGGCAACAUAUCCCAGCCUCUGUGUCACCAAGGCUGGCACUCUCCUUGAUAACAUUUCUCUGGUGCAGAUGGCUCCUGUCCUUGAGAGAAAUAAGGAUCAAACAUCCUUGAAAAGAUAAGUGCCCCACCCUUGGGCCAUGAGAGAAGGGCAAUUAAGUGUCCCCAGACAGCCCUGGCCAGUUUGUAAAAACACACUAGUUCCUGAUAGCACCAUAAAGUUACUUCCCAGGUCAGAAGAGCCCCCUCCCAGUCGCACAAUUCUGCACUGUCUGAACAAACGACAUCAGGUUUGAAAGAAUGACUUCCUCUUGUCACCUCCCCUGUCAUGUAACCCAAGGAUCCCUGCUUAUGCAUAUGCACGUAUAAAAACUCCAAGCCUCUGAACUGGAACAGCGAGCAUCCCGUUCCUAACCUGUGCAGUGGGAAAGGUUUUUGAUCCUUGUAUGACUCGAAUAAAGGCUCUUCAGUUAUAUUACA